UACGGAGGGUGCGAGCGUUGUCCGGAAUCAUUGGGCGUAAAGGGCGCGUAGGUGGCCCAGCAAGCGUGCGGUGAAAGCUCGGGGCUCAACCCCGAGUCGGCCGUGCGAACUGCUGGGCUGGAGCACUGUAGAGGUAGGCGGAAUUCCUGGUGUAGCGGUGAAAUGCGUAGAUAUCAGGAGGAACACCUGCGGUGUAGACGGCUUACUGGACCAUGACUGACACUGAAACCCGAAAGUGUGGGGAGCAAACAGG
rnacentral:rRNA from 1 species